ACCUUUUCUAAGAAGAAGGCGAGGACUUGAUACGAGGUUGGGGUCAGCGAAAACUCAGUGAAGGAGAGCAAUGGAGCUGACGACCCCAACAAAGCUGGAAUACUAUGAUCAAAUGUCGAAACUUCAAUCCAAAACCACACUUCUUUCCUACUUCAAGGGUGAUGAUGGAAGGGAAGCUUUGAUUUUGGACUCUACAAUCUUCCAUCCACAAGGCGGUGGCCAACCUUCUGACACUGGUUUUAUUACCAUUGCCAAUUCCAACCACAGAUUUUGCGUGCAAGAUGUUAGAUCAAAAGAUGGAGUUGUGUUUCAUUAUGGAGUUGCUGAGGAUUCCAGUAAGGAAAGUGAAUUGGAGCAAGGAAAAGGGAAAGAAGUGUCUUUGCAAGUGGAUGAGUCACGGCGGCGGCUGAAUUCUAGGUUGCACUUAGCUGGGCAUUUGCUUGACAUAUGCAUGAGAAAUGUUGGAUUGGGGCAUUUGGAACCUGGGAAAGGCUAUCAUUUUCCAGAUGGGCCAUUUGUUGAAUAUAAGGGUACAAUUCCACCAAAUGAAUUGCAAAGCAAGCAAAGGGAACUAGAGAUGGAAGUUAAUGCCUUGAUAUCUAAAGGAGGGAAAGUUUAUGCCACAGUAUUACCAUAUGAAGAAGCUGCUGAGCUGUGUGGUGGUUCUCUUCCUGACUACAUUCCCCAGGGCAGCAAUCCUCGUAUCAUUAAGUUAGGGGACAAUCCUGGUUGUCCUUGUGGUGGCACCCAUGUUUCUGAUAUUUCAGAGAUCACAAGUUUGAAGAAUCAUUUUGGCAACACCUGGUGAAAAGACAAGGUUGAAGAUGCAUAAGGUCUCUCAGAUACGCACAAAGAAGGGAAUGACAAAAGUAUUUUACACCAUUGGAACUUAAUAGUUGGUGUUUGAUACUCAAUAUUAUAGUAAUAGAUUCCAGCUCAGUGCAAGGAGAUCGAAAAUGUUUGAAGGCGUAGAACUCACAUGUCUAGCACCCUCUGCUUCUAUGAUUGAUUAGUUCAUCCCCUAUAUGUUUGCAUGAACUAAAGGCCAAAAUGAAGAUUCGUAUAAUGUAUUCUCAAUGAUAUGAAUUUAGGAUAUUUUAUGGGCUAAUAUGUAUCUUGUGCUAUAUGUAAUGCUAAUUAGAUUCAUUUUGGUUGAAGGCAGGCUUUUGAUCCCUUACUAAAACAACCAUUCUGAUUCGACAACUACCAUCUUCACUCAGUUGAGCCAUUUUCACUUAAGAUAGAAUGUUCAUUAACCCUUCAACUAUAAGCUUUUUACUGUUUAUACAGUGGCAGAGCAGCAUAUAGAACAUUCCUUAAACUUUUACUGGUUUGUAUGCCUUUUUUCCUCAACCCUGGUUAAUCUGCUCUACCUUUUGAGUCCAAGCUCAUCUCAUUGCUGCUGAUGCUCUAAAGCCAGUAUGAAACUGCCUAACUGGGGGAAUGCAUGGCUUGGCUUGGCCACUUGCGCUGUUCCUGUUGCAUGGUGGAUGCAAACGUGUGUUCACACCUGACACUUUGACAAGUCCCAUUUCUUUUGUUUGUUUUCUGUGGCUUCCUUUCUUUUACUUUUCUUUUGGUAAAAUGUUGUUUUGUGUGACUAAAAUAAUUUGGGGUCGACGUGGGCUAAGAGGGUUCUGUCAAAUGGGUGUCUGAUAGCCCUAUCACUCUACUGUACUAGGAAAAUUUGGCAGUGUGGUCCACACCAUUUGUAUGUAUCAGCAGAGUUUGCAAAUUCAAUCUUGGUCUCUAA